UACGAAGGGGGCUAGCGUUGUUCGGAAUUACUGGGCGUAAAGCGUGCGCAGGCGGCUUCUCAAGUCAGGGGCGAAAGCCCAGAGCUCAACUCUGGAACUGCCUUUGAGACUGAGAGGCUUGAGUACGGGAGAGGUGAGUGGAAUUCCCAGUGUAGAGGUGAAAUUCGUAGAUAUUCGCAAGAACACCAGUGGCGAAGGCGGCUCACUGGCCCGAUACUGACGCUGAGGCACGAAAGCGUGGGGAGCAAACAGG
rnacentral:rRNA from 1 species